GUAGGUGAACCUGCGGAAGGAUCAUUACUGUGGAGGAGCCACUGGAUAUUGUCCAGGGGGCUCUUGCUCCGUUCCUGUGCUGCGUGUACGAUGUGAGAUGUGGUGCUGCAGUGUUCCUGUGACAGGGACCACGCGCAUGCCCACACCCACCAACCUUUCACCCAUAUUCACCUGUUUCUGAUCCCAUCGUGUCAUCGACACAACAACAUCGAAAACUGCCAGCAAUGGAUCACUCGGUUCUC
rnacentral:misc_RNA from 1 species